rnacentral:lncRNA from 1 species
CUGUUGCUGGAGUUCUCCCUGUCAGUGAAAGGUAUCUGACUUCAGGGACAGUUGAUAGUCCCUUGGAUGAGCCUCUGCCUUCUCCUUGAAGAAAGAAGACCACACCCCCUACCUACAGAUUCACAGGACCCAGUCCUUCCCUCUAACCGAGCCGGCAGCCUAUUACCUCCUCGGUACUCCGCCCAUUCCUUUACAGACGAUUCUUUGGGAAGGUAUUGUCAUGCAAAUAAAGGACGCGUAAAAUAUUCCCCCGGAGCGCAGCGCUGGGCAGAGACUCACACGGACCGCGAGGAGGACUCAAUCCGGGGCCCCACGGUGGAUUUGUAUUCUUUGCGUCGCUGCGGAGCCGUCCAUCUGUCACAGACCCGCCGGCUUUAUAAGCAGCGACGUACAGCCAGGAAGCAGGUCGGGCCGUUGAAGGAAAAGCAGCGGGAACAUCGAAGCUUUGUGGAGAGGGUGCUCAUACUUCCACAGUCUCCCCCCUGUGAAUACGGUUCUGCCUCUACGCCAUCCCCUCAAGUAAACUACCUGCUGCUGCCACGGGAGGGAAGCUAUAACUAG